rnacentral:rRNA from 1 species
AUUGAACGCUGGCGGCAGGCUUAAUACAUGCAAGUCGAGCGAGCGGCGGACGGGUGAGUAAUGUCUGGGAAACUGCCCGAUGGAGGGGGAUAACUACUGGAAACGGUAGCUAAUACCGCAUACCCUCAGAUGUGCCCAGAUGGGCUUAGCGAGUAGGGGGGGUAAUGGCUCACCUUGGCGACGAUCCCUAGAUGGUCUGAGAGGAUGACCAGCCACAUGGGAACUGAUACACGGUCCAGACUCCUACGGAAGGAAGCAUUGGGGAAUAUUGCACAAUGGGCGCAAGCCUAAUGCAGCCAUGCCGCGUGUGUGAAGAAGGCCUUCGGGUGGUAAAGCACUUUCAGCGGGGAGGCGUUACCCGCAGAAGAAGCACCGGCUAACUCCGUGCCAGCAGCCGCGGUAAUAC